rnacentral:tRNA from 1 species
GCCUUCAUGGUGUAGUGGUCAGCACUCUUGGCGUGUAUUCGAGAGGUCCGUGGUUCAAGUCCCGGCGAGGGCA